rnacentral:lncRNA from 1 species
UGAUGGGCAGCCAGGCAGAGCUGAGCUAGCUCACCUGCGAGGGCAUUGGAAGCACUCAGCACUUUCCUGAUGGUGCCAGGAUGCUGCGCUAUGAACAUGAGUCCUCUUCCUAGGCCUGCCUCUCACCUCUUCCCACCUGCUAGCCCUGCAAUCCACCUACAGAUGCAGAGCAGCUCCAGGACACAUCAUACACGAUCUGUCACCACCAAGAAGGUUUGAAAAAAUGCCAACACCACCUCCUUGAACACCAGG